GCCUUCGUGGUGUAGUGGUCAGCACGUUCCACCCGUAUUUGAGAGGUGCGUGGUUCGAAUCCUGGCGAGGGCA
rfam:Stegodyphus mimosarum contig66341, whole genome shotgun sequence.